AGAGUUUGAUCCUGGCUCAGGAUGAACGCUAGCUACAGGCUUAACACAUGCAAGUCGAGGGGCAUCAGGAAGAAAGCUUGCUUUCUUUGCUGGCGACCGGCGCACGGGGGAGUAACACGUAUCCAACCUGCCCUUUACUCGGGGAUAGCCUUUCGAAAGAAAGAUUAAUACCCGAUAGCAUAAUGAUUCCGCAUGGUUUCAUUAUUAAAGGAUUCCGGUAAAGGAUGGGGAUGCGUUCCAUUAGGUUGUUGGUGAGGUAACGGCUCACCAAGCCUUCGAUGGAUAGGGGUUCUGAGAGGAAGGUCCCCCACAUUGGAACUGAGACACGGUCCAAACUCCUACGGGAGGCAGCAGUGAGGAAUAUUGGUCAAUGGGCGCUAGCCUGAACCAGCCAAGUAGCGUGAAGGAUGAAGGCUCUAUGGGUCGUAAACUUCUUUUAUAUAAGAAUAAAGUGCAGUAUGUAUACUGUUUUGUAUGUAUUAUAUGAAUAAGGAUCGGCUAACUCCGUGCCAGCAGCCGCGGUAAUACGGAGGAUCCGAGCGUUAUCCGGAUUUAUUGGGUUUAAAGGGAGCGUAGGUGGACUGGUAAGUCAGUUGUGAAAGUUUGCGGCUCAACCGUAAAAUUGCAGUUGAUACUGUCAGUCUUGAGUACAGUAGAGGUGGGCGGAAUUCGUGGUGUAGCGGUGAAAUGCUUAGAUAUCACGAAGAACUCCGAUUGCGAAGGCAGCUCACUGGACUGCAACUGACACUGAUGCUCGAAAGUGUGGGUAUCAAACAGGAUUAGAUACCCUGGUAGUCCACACAGUAAACGAUGAAUACUCGCUGUUUGCGAUAUACAGUAAGCGGCCAAGCGAAAGCAUUAAGUAUUCCACCUGGGGAGUACGCCGGCAACGGUGAAACUCAAAGGAAUUGACGGGGGCCCGCACAAGCGGAGGAACAUGUGGUUUAAUUCGAUGAUACGCGAGGAACCUUACCCGGGCUUAAAUUGCAGUGGAAUGAUGUGGAAACAUGUCAGUGAGCA
rnacentral:rRNA from 1 species